GCCUGAGUGGUUCAGUAGGUUAAGUGUCUGACUUUGGCUCAGGUCACUAUCUCGUGGUUCAUGAGUUCGAGUCCCAUGUCAGGCU
rnacentral:tRNA from 1 species